AACGAACGCUGGCGGCAUGCCUAACACAUGCAAGUCGAACGAGACCUUCGGGUCUAGUGGCGCACGGGUGCGUAACGCGUGGGAAUCUGCCCUUGGGUUCGGAAUAACUUCGGGAAACUGAAGCUAAUACCGGAUGAUGACGUAAGUCCAAAGAUUUAUCGCCCAAGGAUGAGCCCGCGUAGGAUUAGCUAGUUGGUGAGGUAAAGGCUCACCAAGGCGACGAUCCUUAGCUGGUCUGAGAGGAUGAUCAGCCACACUGGGACUGAGACACGGCCCAGACUCCUACGGGAGGCAGCAGUGGGGAAUAUUGGACAAUGGGCGAAAGCCUGAUCCAGCAAUGCCGCGUGAGUGAUGAAGGCCUUAGGGUUGUAAAGCUCUUUACCCGGGAUGAUAAUGACAGUACCGGGAGAAUAAGCUCCGGCUAACUCCGUGCCAGCAGCCGCGGUAAAGUGACUACUG
rnacentral:rRNA from 1 species